CAAAAACGUUCGAUUCAACACGACAUAGUCCAACUGGAAUGCUUUCGGUUAACCAACGUUUCAGUUGAUCAACAUUCGGUUAAUCGAUGCUCUACUGUAGUUCCUUUUUUUCAACAUUGAAGUGGUGCUGUUGUCAAUGCUGACUCAACACACUCAGCACUCAACAGAUAUGUUGACAGCUACUUUCCAGUGAAUUAUGGGUAAUUGGAGCGACAUUUGAAUGAAAAAUGGCGACAAUGCAGGAGAUGUAUGUUACUGUCGAUAACAAAACAUAUCACUUUGUGAUUGAUGAAAAAACAGCAAAAAUGAUGACGGAAGGUAAGAUUUUAAAAAAUUGAAUAUCAUUUCAAGUAAGCAAUAAAUUUAUUUUUCAUUGUUUUUGUCAGAUCACAAUUAUUUACUAAAAUAUAUAAACUUCAAUCUGAGAAUCAGAAGCUUUCGGCAUCUACAGUACCUCAAAUUCCAGAAGGGAAACAGAAUCCACAGAAAGACCACCAAAGAAGGAAAGAACUGGUGAUGAACCACCAUUGUGGUUUAGAAAUUAUUUGAAAAAAAGAAAUAGAGGACAAAAGAAAAGCAGAGGUAGAAGAACAAUGGUGGAAUGAUUUUAAAAAAAA